UUUUGUGUAUGUGGAUAAAUGGGUCUGUGUGUGUAUGUGAAUGUCUGCUUAGUAUGUGGUUUUGUGUGUCUGGGUUUGUUUUUGCAGAGGUGUGGUUUUGUGUAUCUGGGCGUUCUUUUGUAUGUAUGUGGGCGAGUGUGUUUUUUGUGUGCGUUUGGGUGAAUCCGCGUGUCAGUGUGUGUUUAGUUUGAGCUCGCCGACAGUGGGGUGCUUGUUUUUGAUGUCCACCAGAACGGGUUGCCACUGCCACCACCGUCUCCUUCCCCAGACAAAAUGACCAACUCUCCCCGACACGUAAUAGCCUUCUGUAUUGUCCCCGGGAAGAGGACAACGCCACAACCUCCACUGCCACACUCAGAUUCAGUUGAAACUUUGGAGCACCAGUGUGGCUGGCAGGAGAGGCCUGAGGAGUUCCAACUUAGGAAGGAUCGCCACCCGUCCAAAGGAAGGCCCUUUUCUCCCAACGUGCCCCGUGCCAGUGGGGCCGUGAGGAAUUCCAAGUUUCACUAGAGCGAGACCUCCGCAAAAAUGCGAGGGAACUGAGGCACGGAGGAACGAAACGACUUGCCC